GCAGACUUACUCUGUUCUUUGCUGCAGCCUCCAGCCUAGAGCUUUUUGUGUCUGCUACAUGAACAUGCAGAAUGUAACACUUCACUGUCCUUCUAAAAGGCCGGUGUCAUUAUGUUCUGCUACAAUUAC